UCAUGCUCAUUCAGUUGAGUAGCAUGAGAGAGAAGAAAUGAGAGCUCAGCUCCUGGGCCUCACAUUCUUUUAAAUUGUGUGGCAGUUGCACACCCCCCUCUCUCCCCCUCCUGCUUCCUUCCAUAUGGAAGGUGCAGGCACAACCCCCUCUCCCUCAACACAUCCCCCUAGCCUCUCCUGCAACGGGGUUAACAGCUUCUUUUGUUUGACCCCAGAGCCCAUUUGCCAGGGUCGUUAAGAGAGAGGAGGAGAGGGGGCAGAGGCGCCAAGGAGCAAGAAGUUUCAGAGCACCCUAUAGCCAGAGUGGGGUGUAGAGAAGCUUCUGGAAUGCCCACAGUCAGAUCAGACAUGGCUAUAUAAAUGGGACGCCCGCCGAGGCAUGCGUUUUGGCAUGUUCUCUUGGAGUCGUGGGCCAAGAAUACUGUCACUGAGAGCCCUCCCCUUAGCCAGGAUUGCUGCCUAAGGUAAUCUCCCAGGACUGGGACCUCCUCACUGCACAGUGUGGACUUUCCAGAGGGAUCAUUAUGUAUCAUAUUCAAGUGAAGCUCCUAUUCUGGAUAAGAAAGGUGCAGUGAGGGAGACAGCCCUUCAUGUGGCUGCCUUCUGUGACAAUGUGGAUGCUGCUCAGCUUGUCAAUGAAAUAAUAACAUCUGAACUGCAAGCAGUGCUGCAAAAAGCAGUAUGGAUUCAGAAGAUGAUGCUUUUUACAUCUCAUUCUCAGAGAUGUUGCUACAAGGAGACAUGACAGCAGGAGGAGCCUACUCCCUGACCAAAAACACUCAGUGAGAGGAGAAUGCAUCUGAAACUCUUGUAUAUUCAUGUAGCCCUCAGAAGCAGAAGUACUGAUUAUGUUGUUUUGCCUAAAUUGCAGGGUAAACAUUACAUCUAACUCUGAUUUUUUCAGGAAGAUGUCACUUUUUUAGAAUGAUUUCAUAGAAAUUCUGUGUAUUGUGUGAGAAUUUCAUCCUACUAUUUCAGAAAAAGACUGAAAAAUGUAGGAAAUAUAGUGAUUUAUGUGGGGAACAUAGCUAUGGUAAUUUGCCUGUCCCUGAACAAAGUUCUUGAUUUCUCCAUGCCUCAGUUUCUCCAUCUAUAAAAUAUCAUUAAUUAUUUCAGAGCCAUAAACAACAGCUGAUGUAAAAUUUGGUGAAAUACCAUUUCCAAGUGCUUGAGGCAUUUACAUAAAAGCUAUUACUGAUGUGUAAAAAUAUGAAUAUGAACAUAAGUCGAAUAAACAAAGUGGUAAAACAUUUUAAUGAGAAAUGCUGAGAGUGAGUAUUGUUCAUUCCGAGUGGCAAUACAUUUCAUAAAUGUAGUAUCUGCCCUUGGGUCAAAACAAAUUAAAGACUGCAUGGAUGAGAAACCAGGCCAGAUCCUGUGGCCCUUCUUACAGGACAAGAUGCAGAACAUCUUCUACAAAGUGAGUCCUAACAUCUAAAUGAGAUGAGAGUCUGAAUUGAGAAUUUCAAGAGACUAAAGAAAUCAUACACUUCAUCUCCCUAGUUUCAUGGAUAUACACUACUCCUUACCAAGGAAAUCUUCGAAUAUCCUGUAUUUUCCCAAGUAUGUCUCAGUUUUUCACUAAUAAAAUAUCUGUGGCUGUGCUGUGGGCUUCCAACUGUUGAAGUGCUUCUGGCACAUUUGGUAUAGUGUGAUAGACAACAAGGAAAUUGUGUGCUGCAGGGGAAACUGCUCUUCAUAUUGCUGUGGUAAAAGAAAUCAUCUAUUUAGUGAAGGCAAUAAUGGAAAAGAGAGCUAAUGUAAAGAAUCCUCAAGACACAACAGUUACAAUCUCAUCUAUUACACUUUGAUAGACUAAACUGCUAUGAUACCUUUAUUUCUGACAUGCUAGCUAGGUGUCUCUGCAUCUGUCCUUCUUUUCUUCCUCUAUCAAUCUGUCUAAUCAGCAGCAUGAACCCAAACUUCAGAAUUACAAGGAAGGUAAAUUUUUCAGACAACUUUACUCCAGAAAUUUGGUCUUUAUUAAAAAAGGAAGUAGUCUUUAGUCCAUGUUCCAAAGUGGAACUGAUACCCAUGGGUAACCGUUUAAAAAACCCACCAAACUUUAAUUCUGGGUGUUAACUCUCUCUCUCUCUAAUAUAAUGAUACCAACAAAAGCUGUUAAUGACUUUGCCAUCACCCAUUACAGCAGUAAUACAACUAAUGUGAAACUUGAUAACGUUGUCUCUUGUGCCCAAGAGCCUCAGCUUUUCUGUAUUCAACUAUGAAAAAAAUCAGCAACCUCAACUGUGAAUGGAAUUAUGCAAUAUGAAAUUCUGAUGUGUGUGGAAAGUUAUACCAAAGCCAAGUCAGUAUAAAAAUGAUCUGAAGAAUAAAAGAGUAGACUGCGCAAAUGUAUCCGUGCUGUUGAAUAAUGUUUUCUUCUCAAAUGGAACUGCUCUCUGCAAUAAAGAUUCUGAACUUUGUUGGC